AAAGUCGUAACAAGGUUUCCGUAGGUGAACCUGCGGAAGGAUCAUUAACGUAGGGCUCCGGCCUUGCUGAGAUAGAACCCUUGCCUUUUCGAGUACCACCUGUUUCCUCGGCAGGUCCGCCUGCCGAUGGACCUAACCAAAACCCUCCUGCGUACCUGUAACGUCUGAAACAAACCGAAACGAAAAUAAAAACUUUCAACAACGGAUCUCUUGGUUCUG
rnacentral:misc_RNA from 1 species